GGCUAAUAACAUUCUCAUUCAAAAUCAAUUAUCAUGACAAUCUUGAUCACUUACAACAUAGUUUUACAAACUAAACAUACCAAAACUUAAAUCUCAACCAAGUCAACUUGGUUUUUUCCCCACUUAACUAGUCCAUAAUCAUUUAACACAAAAUCAAAUGUCCCAAUUAAGUAUAUAAUAUGACUUCAACAAUAUUAAUAAGUAACCCUAACUCCUUGAUAUCUAAGAAUUUCUCCAAUAAGUUCACCUUUCCCAGAACCAACAUACCUUCCACAAAUUUCACCAUCUCUUAUAAACAAAAACGUAGGCACUUCAAUAACAUCCAUGUCUUUCAAAAACUGCAUACAACUAUCAUUCUCAUCACCAUUCAUUCUCGCGAACACGACUGUAUCAGCCAUCUGUUUCGAUAGCUUAAUCACUGUUGGAUAAACUUUCACACAUGGUCCACAAUGCUUCAAUCCAACGUCGAGGACUAUUAAUUUUUUAUCGAUUUUGUGGUCUUGGAUUACCUUUUCAACGUCUUCUCUGCUGUGGAGCUGCACUACUUCGGAGUGGCUGUCACCGUAGUAGAGUACAUCACCGGCAAGUUGGUCCGGGCCAAUGCCUUCUUCCUCGUGGAUCUUCUCCAUGCUUUUGUAGAAGUUGAAAUGUGGUACCUUGUCAAUCUUUUCUCUCCGGCAGAGUGCCUUAGUCUUCUCCGUUUCAUCUCCGAUCACCAACAAGAAAUCGACAUCGUUACAUGUCUUACUUAAAUUCACCAUAAAAGGAUAAAUAUUUUUCGAACGUUCACUAUCUUUGCCUGCAAAUUCAACCACAACUAGUCGAUUUUUCGCAUUUUUUAAUGCUUCAUCCAAUUCCUCCAUACUAUUAACCUUUUGUACUCUUUCACUUUUAGCCACUUUUUUCUCAACAUCAGGUGCUGCUGUUGCCUUUGUAAUCAAUAAGGGCUUGUUUGUUUUGAGGUUCUUGAAAAUUGAUUGUUUGGAUUUCUCAAAAGGGAAAUUGGAGUAAAGUGAAGGGCUAAUUUUUGUAAUUGAAGCUAGAUUUGGAGAGGGUUUGAGCAAAAAAUUUGUGAGAGUAGCCAUAGAUUAAAGAUUUUUCUUUUCAAGAAUAGCCACAAAAGGAAGAGGGAUGUCAAGUUUAGAAGAAAGGGAGAAAUGGAAAUGUAGUUUGAUAUGAGGUUGUGACACUAUUGGAUUGAG
rnacentral:misc_RNA from 1 species